UACGGAGGGUGCAAGCGUUAUUCGGAUUCACUGGGGUUAAAGGGUGCGUAGGUGGGUUGAUAAGUCAGUGGUGAAAUCCCCGAGCUUAACUUGGGAACUGCCAUUGAUACUAUUGAUCUUGAAUACCGUGGAGGUCAGCGGAAUAUGUCAUGUAGCGGUGAAAUGCUUAGAUAUGACAUAGAACACCAAUUGCGAAGGCAGCUGGCUACACAAAUAUUGACACUGAGGCACGAAAGCGUGGGGAUCAAACAGG
rnacentral:rRNA from 1 species